UACGGAGGGGGCUAGCGUUGUUCGGAAUUACUGGGCGUAAAGCGCACGUAGGCGGCGAUUUAAGUCAGAGGUGAAAGCCCGGGGCUCAACCCCGGAAUAGCCUUUGAGACUGGAUUGCUUGAACAUCGGAGAGGUGAGUGGAAUUCCGAGUGUAGAGGUGAAAUUCGUAGAUAUUCGGAAGAACACCAGUGGCGAAGGCGGCUCACUGGACGAUUGUUGACGCUGAGGCGCGAAAGCGUGGGGAGCAAACAGG
rnacentral:rRNA from 1 species